GCUGGGUUUGGUGGUGCGUGCCUAUAGUCUCAACCACUCAGUAGGCUGAAGUGGGAGGAUUGCUCGAGACUAUUUCUGGGCUGCAGUGAUCUAUGCCAAUUGGGUGUCUGCAUUAAGUUUUGCCUCUAUAUGAUGACCUUCUGAGAGCUGGGUACUGGCCCAGUUUGGAGACGGAACUGGUCUAAACUCCUGUGCUGAUUCAUUGGUGCCAUAGUGGCUGUGAAUACUGAAUUGCCACUGCCCCCCAGCCUGGGUAACAUAGCAAGAUGCCAUCUCU
ensembl:misc_RNA Metazoa_SRP Metazoan signal recognition particle RNA